GGGGCUGCCGCGCUGGCUGGAAGCAGGCGGGUGGGGGCUCCGCGGGACGGGCCGGCGAUGCUGCACUAAUUAAAACGCGCCCAGCGCCCGCCUGUGGGUUUCCCCUGAUUGCAUUACUGCUGGCCGGGUGCCCGGGCCAGGGCAUCACGUGGGAAAACCCCGGCGCUGGAAGGGGAGGGGUCGAGGUGAGCCAGCCAUUUCCCUCCGCCUUGAUAACCAACUCUCCGCUUUCCCCGCGCCCCUUCUCUGCCUGUCCUGCCGGCUCCGCAGCCAUGGACCCUCCCAGCGCUGUGCCCUACGCCCGCCUGGAGAUCCCCGACCUCGACUCCGUGCCCUCCUACAAGUACUGGUCCAUCUUCAACAUCCUGUGCUGCUGCCUGCCCCUGGGGCUGGUCGCUAUCUUCUACUCGGGACAGGUGGAGGAGUGCCUAGCACGCAGAGACAUCACAGGAGCAAAGGCAGCCUCCAACACUGCAAGAACCAUCAACAUCCUCGCCGUGGUGAUCGGGCUGGCAUGCAUUAGUGUGACCAUAUUCUUUAUGAUCCAGAGAUUUGAGCUGCUCCAAGCAGCACAACCCACCCAGUUUCCCUUACAUUAUAAUUUCGGCUGAGGCCAUGGUGCUGCCCCCUAGGCUUGGGGAGAUGAAACCACCACUGCAAAAAUCUGUCUUUGAAUUCUGCUCUGUUUCGGUUCUCGCUCUUCUUUAUUCUGCUGGUAGCCAGUAAGCUUCCUCUGCAUGUCUUAUGCCCAAGAUCAUCAUCAAGCUGACAGCUGCAGAUAUUGAAUUGGGACUCCCUCUCUCCCAGCCUUCAAUGCAGCCACUUGGGUAUAAUUCUCAUGGCACUAACUCCUUUCUCACUAGACUGGAAAGAAAUCAAGAAAAAGGCACUGAAAUCUUUCCAGGCCACACAGACAGACUUGCUGCCAGUGCUGAGAUUCUUAAAUAAAACUCCCCCUGUAGUGCA
rnacentral:lncRNA from 1 species